rnacentral:rRNA from 1 species
GACGAACGCUGGCGGCGUGCUUAACACAUGCAAGUCGAACGGUGAAGCGCUUGCCUUUUUGGUGGGUGUGGAUGAGUGGCGAACGGGUGAGUAACACGUGAGUAACCUGCCCUCUUCUUCUGGAUAACCUCAUGAAAGUGGGGCUAAUACGGGGUAUUCCGGGUCUGUCGCAUGGCGGGUUUGGGAAAGAUUGCGCCUUUGGGUGUUUUCGGUGGGGGAUGGGCUCGCGGCCUAUCAGCUUGUUGGUGGGGUGAUGGCCUACCAAGGCGGUGACGGGUAGCCGGCCUGAGAGGGUGGACGGCCACACUGGGACUGAGACACGGCCCAGACUCCUGCGGGAGGCAGCAGUGGGGAAUAUUGCACAAUGGGCGCAAGCCUGAUGCAGCGACGCCGCGUGAGGGAUGGAGGCCUUCGGGUUGUGAACCUCUUUCGCCAGUGAAGCAGGCCUGCUCCUGUGUGGGUGGGUUGACGGUAGCCGGAUAAGAAGCGCCGGCUAACUACGUG